rnacentral:rRNA from 1 species
UGGGGAAUAUUGCACAAUGGGCGCAAGCCUGAUGCAGCAACGCCGCGUGAACGAUGAAGGCCUUAGGGUCGUAAAGUUCUGUCCUAAGGGAAGAAAGAAAUGACGGUACCUUAGGAGGAAGCCCCGGCUAACUACGUGCCAGCAGCCGCGGUAAUACGUAGGGGGCAAGCGUUAUCCGGAAUUAUUGGGCGUAAAGAGUACGUAGGUGGCUUUGUAAGCGCAGGGUGAAAGGCAGUGGCUCAACCACUGUUAGCCCUGCGAACUGCAAGGCUUGAGUGCAGGAGAGGAAAGCGGAAUUCCUAGUGUAGCGGUGAAAUGCGUAGAUAUUAGGAGGAACACCAGUGGCGAAGGCGGCUUUCUGGACUGUAACUGACACUGAAGUACGAAAGCGUGGGGAGCAAACA